UUUUUUUCUUUUAAUAUAUCAGAGCUCUAUUGGGGAAAAGAAGAAGAAAUGUGUAUUUCUUUUCAUCUUCUCAAGACAAAUUUAAGUAAACAGAAGAAAUUUUCAUUUUUAGUGAUAAGUUUUGUUUCCUUGCAAGUUGGAAAAAAAUCAUUCUAAUUUCAGGGUGACUCUUUGUGACAGUGAACCCUGCGAGCCCCUGACAGUGUUCUUCGCUUUGUCACAGAGUGUAGGGGGUCCCCCAGCGCCAAGCACCCCAGCGUCAACCUGAUCAUCCUGGGAAGGACUUGAGCUCUUUCAGUUUGGAGGGCUGUUAUUUCAAUAUGUUUCUUUUCCUUUUUGUUUUAGUUCAUGUGGAGCUGAAAUACGCCUUAUUUUGCACAAAAGACUGCCAACGACAUGAUCAGCAGCUGGCUACAGCCUCGAUUUAUAUUUCUUUUUGUGGUGAUCUGAUUUUUUUUUUUUAAACCAAAGUUUAGAAAGAGCUGUUUGAAAUGCCUAGGGUUCUUCUAAUGGUGAACUUGAGCAUCUUUCUACUUUCCAGUCAUCAGUGAAACACGGUGUGGUUUUUCCCGUUGCUUCCUAUAAAAAUCCUUGUAAACUGCAGCGCAGCGCGGCGGGACCUCACACUGUCCUGGAACUCUGCCUCUGCUUCAUGCCGCAGUGACUGUGUUGCUUCUGUCGAUGAACACUUCUUCCCCCGUCUCUGAAAUGAGCGCAGGCUGGUCGGGGACGGGACCCCUGCACUCUGGUGUCUGGAUAUCCUCACGCACCACCUGGAGCUUACGUCUUUGAAGCAAGGGCCUGGGUUCCUCUACCAAGACGUUUCUUAUCUUCAAGUGACCUGCAUUGCUUGGGAACUAGUGGAGAGAAUAAGAUAGAGUCUUAUUUGUAAAAAACCAUGACCAAGGAUGUUCUGGGGAACUCUGGGAACCUCUAAAGGCGGGUAUUUCUGACCCUCAUUGUCAGCAGCUCCCUGAACACACAGCCUUUCUUGGUGGCCCCGCAGGGCAGGGGGGGCGGCGGGGCAGCAAGAGUCAGUCCCUUGUUUUCAGAGGCAUCACGAAUAAUAGCACGAUUCUUCGAUGACCAUAGAGAAUAGUGUUUUCCAUUCAACAAUUCAAGACCAAGUUGAUUUUUGAAGGUUAGCUCCUUAAAGGUGAAGGAGAUUUAUUUUCAUCUCUUGCCUCUGUCCUCCUUGGCACAAUGUAAACAUAACAUCCUAAUUUUAUCUAGCCAAGAAAGAGGAAUGGCUUGUUGGGGAGCCCAGGGAGGACCCUGGGAGCACACAGAAUGCCCGUGCUUGCUGCACUGGGACGCAUCCUGCUUUUCUUUCUAACUCACACAUAUAUGCAGAGAAAACACGUUCUUCAUGACCUGUUAACAUUGUAUACGUCAUAGUCCAGAUAUGCUAGGACCUACACUAGAUAAUCCUAGAUGAGAUGUUAGCGAUGCUAGAGAACAUAACUACGGCCAUGACCGAGGAAAGAGCCUGCGCAGGGCCAGUGCCCCAAGGCCAGCCCUCGAGCUUGGCGGCGUGGGUGCUGAGGGGGCCCGCACCACCGCCGGCCUCCGGGGUGGACACACACUGCGCACAGCCCUCCUGGAGAACACAAAGGGGUCUCGAGACAUUCUGCCUACCUAUUAGCUUUUCUUUAUUUUUUUAAGUUUUUGAAGAAAAAAAGUAUUUUUGAAAAGUUCGUCUUGCAAUGUAUUUAUAAAUAGUAAAUAAAGUUUUUACCAUAAAGAAGUCCCUCACCCCUUGUUAGUGACUGGCUCUGCAUUGCAGGUUACUAAUGAAAUCAUCCGGAGGGGGUGGGCUGUUCCAGGGGCACUAAAAGGCUUCGUAAACCAACACCUUUGCCUGCUUCCACCUCCCGCAAGAGAACCCGAGGAGACAGCCCGGAGGCCUCCACUGGCCCCGUGGAGGCGCUGGGUCAUGUCUGCUGUGAGCCUUGAGUUCCAGGAGUUCAGGUGUUGACCCCGGUCCCAUCACAGGAGUGGGCAGGUGGGAGCAGAUCAGUAGACGCACCUCGUGACUGGCCCUCUUUUCCUUUAGGUUUUGUCCCCCGUUGUCCUAUCUGUCACCACUCAGGGAAGGCUUCGUGUCCGAGGGGGACAGGUGUGAAACACGUGCAGGAGGAUUCAGCGCCACUUCCCGGCCUGAGACCCUCUCGCUCCACCUCUGUUUGGAAUAGGAGAGAGACCCCAGGAGAUGCUCAGGGAGCGGGGGUCCGUUCUGGGGGCUCAGUCCCCUCUCUGCUGCCUUGGGACAAUUACCC
rnacentral:lncRNA from 1 species